rnacentral:rRNA from 1 species
CCUACGGGUGGCAGCAGUGGGGAAUAUUGCACAAUGGGGGAAACCCUGAUGCAGCGACGCCGCGUGAGUGAAGAAGUAAUUCGUUAUGUAAAGCACUAUCAGCAGGGAAGAAAAUGACGGUACUUGAGUAAGAAGCCCCGGCUAACUCCGUGCCAGCAGCCGCGGUAAUACGUAGGGGGCAAGCGUUAUCCGGAUUUACUGGGUGUAACGGGAGCGUAGACGGCAGUGCAAGUCUGGCGUGAAAGGCGGGGGCUCAACCCGCGGACUGCUCUGGAAACUGGACGGCUGGAGUGCAGGAGAGGUAAGUAGAAUUCCUAGUGUAGCGGUGAAAUGCGUAGAUAUUAGGAGGAACACCAGUGGCGAAGGCGGCUUACUGGACUAUAACUGACGUUGAGGCGCGAAAGCGUGGGGAGCAAACAGGAUUAGAUACCCUUGUAUUC